UACGUAGGGUGCGAGCGUUGUCCGGAAUUAUUGGGCGUAAAGAGCUCGUAGGCGGUUUGUCGCGUCGGCCGUGAAAACUUGGGGCUUAACUCCAAGCUUGCGGUCGAUACGGGCAGACUAGAGGUAUGCAGGGGAGAACGGAAUUCCUGGUGUAGCGGUGAAAUGCGCAGAUAUCAGGAGGAACACCGGUGGCGAAGGCGGUUCUCUGGGCAACAACUGACGCUGAGGAGCGAAAGCGUGGGGAGCGAACAGG
rnacentral:rRNA from 1 species